GGGUUAGUAGGUUGGUCAUGCCUCUGGUAUGUACUGGUCUCACUGAUUCCUCCUUCCUGAUGAACCUUAAUGCCAUUAAUUUGGUGUUAUAGGGAAUCAGGACUGUUACUUUGAAAAAAUUAGAGUGUUUAAAGCAGGCUCACGCUUGAAUACAUUAGCAUGGAAUAACGGAAUAGGACGUUUGAUUCUAUUUUGUUGGUUUCUAGGACCGCUGUA
rnacentral:rRNA from 1 species